rnacentral:rRNA from 1 species
AGAGAGAGACAUGCGCGCAUAUCAAUAAGCGGAGGAAAAGAAACUAACUAAGGAUUCCCUUAGUAACGGCGAGUGAAGCGGGAAGAGCUCAAAUUUGAGAUCUUCAAGGUUUACCUUGACGAAUUGUAGUUUAAAGAAGUGUUUUCUGCUGAAGUUUUGGUAAAAGUUCUUUGGAAUAGGACAUCAUAGAGGGUGAGAAUCCCGUAUUUGACCAUUAUUUUCAGCUUUGUGAUACACUUUCAAAGAGUCGGAUUGUUUGGGAAUGCAGUCCAAAAUGGGUGGUAAAUUUCAUCUAAAGCUAAAUAUUGGCGAGAGACCGAUAGCGAACAAGUACCGUGAGGGAAAGAUGAAAAGAACUUUGAAAAGAGAGUUAAACAGUACGUGAAAUUGUCAAAAGGGAAGCGUUUGACACCAGUGUUGUUUUCUCGAAAAUCAAUUAAAAAUGGCUCGAUUUUGUAUUGCUGAGACCUUAAAAGCUCACUGUACAUUUUUCGUGUCUUUUUUAAUGCACUUUUCGUUUAACAAGUCAACAUCAGUUUCUUUUGUUGUAAAAGGGUCAUUGGAAGGUGGCUUUCUUUUCGGAGAAAGUGUUUAUAGCCUUUGGCCUCUGCAAUCGAAGAGACUGAGGUCUGCAGCGUAGACUCUUCGGGGUUAGAUACAUUUGUGCUAAGUUAUAGCUUUUUAUAGACAACUUGUUGACUAUAAUUAGUCUUGUAGCUUACUCGCUUAUGCUAUUUUACCUACGCUUAGGAUGUUGAAGAUGUAGCACAUCAU